CACAUUGGUAACGGUAAAAACAGGAAUAUAUGCAUUAUUUCGUGGUCUAAAGAUUUUGUAUUGUGUUUGUAAAACUUAAAAGUGAUUUCAUAUAAACGUCUAAUGACUGUUACAUUAUGGAGGAGUGGGAAGUAAUUGUAGAGAGAUAUGAAUAUGUAGAACGUAAAAGCUUCCUCAAGGCCUGUGAGUGCGCUCAUCAUGUACUCAAAGAUGACUUAGCACCAUCAGAAAUAGUGUGGUUCUUAGAUACAUUAUUACUUGAGCCUGUUAAUAUAUUGAAAACAAUAGCGGCUAAAUGUAAAGAACCCGUUUGGCUCGAAACUAUUGGGAAAACAUUUAAAUUACUCUCCAAUGUAAUUGAGAAGUUUCCGGAAGAAUGUACGCAACAUUUCGAGAACAUU